GAUGAACGCUAGCGGCAGGCUAACACAUGCAAGUCGAGGGGUAACAGGAGGAAGUUUACUUUCUUGCUGACGACCGGCGCACGGGUGCGUAACGCGUAUAGAACCUACCUUUUACAGAGGGAUAGUCCGAAGAAAUUUGGCAUAAUACCUCAUAGUAUUAUCGAUUGGCAUCAAUUGAUAAUUAAAGAUUUAUCGGCAAAAGAUGGCUAUGCGUCCUAUUAGCUAGUUGGUACGGUAACGGCGUACCAAGGCAACGAUAGGUAGGGGUUCUGAGAGGGAUAUCCCCCACACUGGUACUGAGACACGGACCAGACUCCUACGGGAGGCAGCAGUGAGGAAUAUUGGACAAUGGUGGCAACACUGAUCCAGCCAUGCCGCGUGCAGGAAGACGGCCUUAUGGGUUGUAAACUGCUUUUAUAUGGGAAGAACCGCAGGUACGCGUACCUGUCUGACGGUACCAUAUGAAUAAGCACCGGCUAACUCCGUGCCAGCAGCCGCGGUAAUACGGAGGGUGCAAGCGUUAUCCGGAAUCAUUGGGUUUAAAGGGUCCGUAGGCGGGUUAAUAAGUCAGGGGUGAAAUCUCACAGCUCAACUGUGAAACUGCCUUUGAUACUGUUAGCCUUGAAUGAUAUGGAAGUAGAUAGAAUGUGUAGUGUAGCGGUGAAAUGCAUAGAUAUUACACAGAAUACCGAUUGCGAAGGCAGUCUACUACGUAUUUAUUGACGCUAAUGGACGAAAGCGUGGGGAGCGAACAGG
rnacentral:rRNA from 1 species